rnacentral:piRNA from 1 species
UGAGACUGAGAAUACAGGUGGAUGGAAGU